GAUGAACGCUAGCGGCAGGCCUAAUACAUGCAAGUCGAGGGGCAGCGAUUCAGACCUAGUCUGAAGUCGGCGACCGGCGCACGGGUGCGUAACGCGUAUGCAACUUACCCUUCACAGGAGGAUAGCCCGGGGAAACCCGGAUUAAUACUUCAUGGUGUUAUAAUACGGCAUCGUAUAAUAACUAAAGAUUUAUUGGUGAAAGAUGGGCAUGCGUCCAAUUAGCUAGAUGGUGAGGUAACGGCUCACCAUGGCGAUGAUUGGUAGGGUUCUGAGAGGAUGAUCCCCCACACUGGUACUGAGACACGGACCAGACUCCUACGGGAGGCAGCAGUAGGGAAUAUUGGUCAAUGGGCGAGAGCCUGAACCAGCCAUGCCGCGUGCAGGAAGACGGCCUUCUGGGUUGUAAACUGCUUUUAUACGGGAAGAAAAAGUCCAUGCGUGGACAACUGACGGUACCGUACGAAUAAGCACCGGCUAACUCCGUGCCAGCCG
rnacentral:rRNA from 1 species